rnacentral:misc_RNA from 1 species
UAACAACUACAUGGGUGGGCCGCCACCACCACCGCCUCCUAAAAACUACGUGGGUGGGCCGCCGCCACCACCACCACCGCCUUCUAACAACUAUGUGGGUGGGCCGCAGAACAUGGGAGGAAUACCUCAGAACAACUUUGGAGCUUCGCCUCCCAACACGGGAGGAAUGCCCCAAAAUCCUGGAUGGUCUAAUAACAUGCCACAGAACUUCCAGAAUGGGCGCAAUGAUGGAGGCAUACAUCACCAAGGUACACCAUCAAACUACCAGAAUAACUACACUUCAAAUAGGGAUGGAAGCUUGCCUGGUGGAAACCCCUAUAGUGCCUGAACGAUCCCAGAAGACACUAGGCAUGCUGUGUAGAUAUGCAAUGAGGAAUUUGUUUUUGGCAAUCUUUCAGGCCAAUGGUCUUAAUAUGUCUCAGUUCUCGAAUGAUUUAUUGAUAUUUACUUAUCAUCAUGGUUUGCAUGGUGCUACUUGCGUUGGAUGUUAAAUCAAAUCUUGUUACAAUUUUCAGAAUAGAAUUUAAUCUGUAGUCUUUGUUGCAACUUGGCUGUGUUAUCAAUGUAGCUUUUAUGUAUACAUGGCUUGUGUGCAUUUAUAAGUUUCUUUUUUUUCCUUCAUUAUAUGGAAGAAACUAAUGUUAGAAUUAGUUUAUUUCAAGUGAUUUGAAGGUUAUUUGACAAGCUAUGGGAGCUUGAAUGGUGAUA